ACCAGCAAAAAAAUCAAAUUCAGCUAGCAAAAUCGUUCAUCCUACUCCUCCAUUGAAGAACAUUCAACAAAACUUGAAAUCACCAUAACUUUUUCAUUUGAGGUCCGAUUGAUGCGAUUCUUGCGGCCACGGAAAGAGGAAGACGACCUCUACUGAUUGAGACCAGAAAUUUAAGGUGUUUAUUAGCUUCCAUGGACCAAUUUUGAUGAUGAAUCUUGGAGCUAGACCCUUUGGAUUUGAGGCUUCAAUCAAGAUCGGACGAGCGACUAUCGAAAAAGGUUUGAGGCAAACGGAUCGAGAUAUCGUCAUAAUUAUUUGAAGAAUUUGGAUAGCAAGUGGGAUAGCAUGAUAUUAUUUGGAAAGUCAAGCUUCCGAAGUUUUAAUUCUCGGAAGUCAUUUGCACAAGAAGUGAAAGAAGGUUUUCAUUCUAUCAGUCCGCAGUAGUCUAGAUUUUUUUGUCUAUGUAUUUGACUAGCGCAUUUUAACUCUGAUAUUUUUGUAAAAUGGGGUCACAUGUAUUUUGAUAUAUGAAAAAAAUGAUUUGAUUUACGAAAAAUUUACACAGGUUUUUAGGCUUGCUACGGGUU